rnacentral:lncRNA from 1 species
CCCCUUGCCUACUACUACCCUAGCCCCUUCCCCUGCCUCUUCUCUACCGUAAACAAUGGAUCAGGUGGUCGCCGAUACACUUCAGCAGAUCGCCACUUCCCUGGCUGCACAGGCUGCCCAGGCUGCCGAGGUUGCAGCCGAACAGCGCGGUAGGUUUUGUCUUGGCCCCCUUAUCUAUGGUUAUUCUGCUGUUUCUUGGUGCUCCUUGUUGGUUUCCCCCUGUGGUGUAGUGUCUAAUCUGCUUCUUUGUUUGUUUGCUCUCCCUAUGGUGUGGUGUCUAAUAUACUUCUCUGUUUUUCUUUUUUCUCAGUCCGCGAGGCGUAUGGCUACACCCUGACCAAGAUGACGAGAUAGAAACUUUGUGUGAUAUCUUUUAGGUCAAAACUGUUCUUCUUCCUUCUUUUCUAGUAAUUAUGAUGCUCUAUUCUUCAACUAUCGCCUUGAGCCUUCACGCAUGUAGCAACAGUUUCGAUCUGCUCAUCCGUACACUCGUUGUGCCUGUUAUCCUUCUGAUCAGAUGACACUGACUCAGCCAAACAACCAGUGACGGACCUUUAAUAACAGUUCCUUAUCU